rnacentral:rRNA from 1 species
ACUGCUCAGUAACACGUGGACAAUCUACCCUACGGAGGAGGACAACCUCGGGAAACUGAGGCUAAUACUCCAUAGGAGAGGAGCACUGGAAUGUCCCUCUCUCAAAGCUAAAACUAAUGCUUGUUGACGCGCCGUAAGAUGAGUCUGCGUCGGAUUAGGUAGACGGUAGGGUAACGGCCUACCGUGCCUACGAUCCGUACCGGCUAUGUGAGUAGGAGCCGGGAGAUGGAUACUGAGACAAGGAUCCAGGUUCUACGGAACGCAGCAGUCGCGAAACCUUCCCAAUGCGCGCAAGCGUGAGGAGGGAACCCCAAGUGCGCAAUUACAAAUUGCGCUUUUACGGAGUGUAAGAAGCUUCGGGAAUAAGGACUGGGCAAGACUGGUGCCAGCCUCCGCGGUAACACCAGCAGUUCUAGUGGUAAUCACGUUUAUUGGGUUUAAAGCGUCCGUAGUCGGUUCAUUAAGUUUUCUGUGAAAUCCUGCGGCUUAACCGUAGGGCUUGCAGAAAAUACUGUUGGACUAGAGGCCGGGAGAGGAAGGGGGUAUUCUAGGGGUAGCGGUGAAAUGCUAUAAUCCCUGGAAGACCACCAGUAGCGAAGGCGCCCUUCUGGAACGGGCCUGACGAUGAGGAACGAGAGCUAGGGGAGCAAACCGGAUUAGAUACCCGGGUAGUCCUAGCCGUAAACGAUGCGGACUGAGUGUUGCCGGAACCUCGUGUUCCGGCAGUGCUGAAGGGAAACCGUUAAGUUCGCCAUCUGGGAAGUACGGCCGCAAGACUGAAACUUAAAGGAAUUGGCGGGGGAG